UACAGAGGUCUCAAGCGUUGUUCGGAUUCAUUGGGCGUAAAGGGUGCGUAGGCGGCGCGGUAAGUCGGGUGUGAAAUUUCGGAGCUUAACUCCGAAACUGCAUUCGAUACUGCGGUGCUUGAGGACUGGAGAGGAGACUGGAAUUUACGGUGUAGCGGUGAAAUUCGUAGAUAUUCGGAAGAACACCAGUGGCGAAGGCGGCUCACUGGCCCGGUUCUGACGCUGAGGUGCGAAAGCGUGGGGAGCAAACAGG
rnacentral:rRNA from 1 species